rnacentral:lncRNA from 1 species
GCCUGCCUUACAUUUCUUAGACUUAAGUAAGAUAUUGCCAGUGGCUUUUCCCAUGUGUUCCAACAACAUAGUUUAUUGGACUGCUCCCAAUUUAGAGCGUAUUGGCAAAAAAAAUGCAAACAGGCCUCAGCCCUAGAGCCACCAUUGUUGGGGCUAUUAAUGUUCAUUUGGUAUCAAAAAUGAAGAAACAAGAUAAAUUGUGAAAAUAAGACAUAAUGAAAAUGACACUAAGUACAGUCUCCCAGGAAAAAAAUUGUCUUUUCCCAUGGUAGAAAAUUUGGAAAAUGCAGAAAAUACAAGGAAGAAUGAAAAAAAAUUACCACAUUCCCCCCUACUGUCUAGACAUAACUGCUGUAUUUUAAAAAUAUAUGUAAUUAUUUUUAAAUACUUUCAAAAUUGGAAUCAUAUAAUAUGUUGUUAUGCAUAUGUGUGUAUGUGUGUAUUAAUUAAUAACCUGCUUUUCACAUAACAAUAUGUUGUGAAUUUUAUGUCAUUAUUUUAAUAACUGCCUAAUGCAAAUGAACCACAGUUUGUUUAAUCACCCAUUAUUGGACAUAAAGAUUCUGUUUUUCCCUGUAACACAUAACACUUUAAUGAAUCUUCCCAGUAUGUCACUAUUUUCCUAGUAUGCUUUUUUAGGAGGGGAAUUUUUGGGUCUUAAGCUUUUUUGUAAAUGUUUUUAAAUUGCCCUCCUGAAAGACCAAUAUGAACUCCCACCGGCAGAGUCCCCAUUUCCCUUUUUGAUGACUGAAAAUAGUAAGGGUGAAUUUUUUUAAAACAUGUUGGCAUCUCUGUAACUGUUUAUUUCUAGCUUUUGCCCAUUUUUCUUUUGAACUGUUUUUGACUUUUUCUUACUUGUUCAUACAUAUUCUUAUAUAUUAAGGAUAUU